rnacentral:tRNA from 1 species
CAGAGUGUAGCCAAGAAGUAAAGCAUCUCACUUACACUGUGAAGUCACUCGCGCAAAUCGAGUCACUCUGA